rnacentral:rRNA from 1 species
GCAGUCGAGCGGGGGAGGUAGCUUGCUACCGGACCUAGCGGCGGACGGGUGAGUAAUGCUUAGGAAUCUGCCUAUUAGUGGGGGACAACAUCUCGAAAGGGAUGCUAAUACCGCAUACGUCCUACGGGAGAAAGCAGGGGAUCUUCGGACCUUGCGCUAAUAGAUGAGCCUAAGUCGGAUUAGCUAGUUGGUGGGGUAAAGGCCUACCAAGGCGACGAUCUGUAGCGGGUCUGAGAGGAUGAUCCGCCACACUGGGACUGAGACACGGCCCAGACUCCUACGGGAGGCAGCAGUGGGGAAUAUUGGACAAUGGGGGGAACCCUGAUCCAGCCAUGCCGCGUGUGUGAAGAAGGCCUUAUGGUUGUAAAGCACUUUAAGCGAGGAGGAGGCUACUUUAGUUAAUACCUAGAGAUAGUGGACGUUACUCGCAGAAUAAGCACCGGCUAACUCUGUGCCAGCAGCCGCGGUAAUACAGAGGGUGCGAGCGUUAAUCGGAUUUACUGGGCGUAAAGCGUGCGUAGGCGGCUUAUUAAGUCGGAUGUGAAAUCCCCGAGCUUAACUUGGGAAUUGCAUUCGAUACUGGUGAGCUAGAGUAUGGGAGAGGAUGGUAGAAUUCCAGGUGUAGCGGGU